CAGCUUGUAGUUUAUUAAAAAUAUAAAUUUUGGGUAUUUAAGAAAGAUUUUUCUUUAGCUGA
rnacentral:tRNA from 1 species